AGCUUCUCCUUGAGUCACGGCUCUUUUUUCAGACGUUCCAUAGCAGUUGGAGAACUCCAGAAGUGUGAGUCUCCGUUUCCGGUCCUGAGAGCUCACACACCACCUGGGAGCCUCCUGCCCCAGACACCAGCCUGGACAGGCCAGCCUCUCCCUCGAAGUCUCGAGAAGGGGUGGUUUCAGAAGGCUGCAGGUGUGUGCGGAGUUUGUCGCUGGGAUGGCGCGCUGGUGGGAAGACAGCCCACGGGUGUCGCCCUCCAUCAAGGUCAAGUUAUCCAGCCUGGCUCGUGCUGCCCGGAGUUUGCUACAUCUUGGUGCCCCCAGCCUAAAAUAGGCAAAAGCUAAAGAACAAUGAAAAAGUGGAAGCAGUGACAGAUCUUAUUUUCUUGGGCUCCACAAUCAUUGUGGAUGGUGAUUGCAGCCAAGAAAUUAAAAGAUGCUUGCUCCUUGGAAGGAAAGCUAUGACAAACCUAGACAACAUAUUAAACAGCAGAGACAUCACUGUGCCUACAAAGAUUCAUAUCGUCAGAGCUAUGGUUUUUCCGGUAGUCAUGUACAGUUGUGAGAGUUGGACUGUGAAGAAGGCUGAGUGCUGAAGAAUCUAUGCUUUCUAAUUGUGGAGUUGGAAAAGACUCUUGAGAGUCCUUGGACAGCAAGAUUAAACCAGUCAAUCCUAAAGGAAAUCAACCUUGAAUAUUCGUUGAGAGGACUGAUGCUGAAGCUAAAAGCUCCAGUACUUUGACCACAUGAUGCAAAGAGCUGACUCGUUGGAAAAGACCCAGAUUCUGGGAAAGACUGGAGGCAAAAGGAGAAAAGGGCCGCAGAGGAUUAGAUGGUUAGUUAGAUAGCAUCACCGACUCAAUGGACAUGAAUUUGAGCAAACCCAAGGAGACAGUGGAGGACAGAGGAGCCUAGUGUGCUACAGUCCACGCGGCCACAAAGAGUCAGACUCAGCGACUGAACAGCAACAACAGGAAUGAUGAACUGAAUGAGGUAGUCCUAGAGGUUAGCUAGGGCUCUGGAAAGUGCUCAAUUCUCUACUUCAACUUUCUGUAAGAAAUUUCAGCCCAGUUUAUGUGAAUAUCCUUCUUGUAACAACGAUGACCAAAACUUGGAUGAUGAAUCUGUAUACCUGUUCAUGCUAAGGUAUGCUUGGUUAUUUUUGUUUCAUUUUUGUUGAAGAACACAUCCAUGUUAUGAUAAAUUAAUAAAACCUGAAAAUAGUUUGAAUAUAAUGAGGAGAGAUUUGAAAUACUAGAGAGAUGCUCUUCAUAAUUAUUUUCUCCUAAUUAAAUCUCAUAAGCA
rnacentral:lncRNA from 1 species